rnacentral:rRNA from 1 species
UACGGGGGGAGCAAGCGUUGUUCGGAUUUACUGGGCGUAAAGGGCGCGCAGGCGGCUGCUCAAGUCAGGCGUGAAAGGCCUGGGCUCAACCCCGGAACUGCCUUCGAUACUGGGUAUCUUGAGUUCGGAAGAGGUGAGUGGAAUUGCGAGUGUAGAGGUGAAAUUCGUAGAUAUUCGCAGGAACACCAGUGGCGAAGGCGGCUCACUGGUCCGAUACUGACGCUGAGGUGCGAAAGCCAGGGGAGCAAACAGG